CGGCCGCCAGUGUCGCGCACAAGAGUGAGUAGCGCAGUGCGCUCGCGUGGAGCAGUGGCCAUAUAACAGCGACGGGCCUGCUGUGCGCGCUCGUGGCCGCCGAGUCGCUGCGGGCCGCGCGGGAGCACAUCGCGGCCGCCAGUGUCGCGCACAAGAAUGGGAACCUCCUCAUAGCAGCGGUGUGCCGCUCGGCCGCCGCGUGGUGCGUGCGCGUCAGCGUGUGCUGCGCCGCGCCCCCCGCGCGCCCCGCGCCCGCCCCGGCGCCCCCCCGCCUGCAGCUGCAGCCGUUACCUGCCCUAUGUCUACCAGAGUCGUCUACACCACCCGUGUCCAUAACCUGGUGCCUACGUGAGGACACGGACUCGCUCCUCGUGGCAGGAUCGAACCUUACUCUAUGGAAACUGACCGAGAGAUCGCAUCCAGUCCACAAACUAUUCUCUAAAGGUGCCUUACAAGGCAGCACUACUCCUGGUGGCGGCCCGAAACCAUCCACAGACUGUUUUAAUACGGUGG